AGGACGAACGCUGGCGGCGUGCUUAACACAUGCAAGUCGAGCGGAAAGGCCCUUCGGGGUACUCGAGCGGCGAACGGGUGAGUAACACGUGAGCAACCUGCCCCUGGCUCUGGGAUAGCCUCCGGAAACGGGGAUUAAUACCGGACAUGACCCUUGACCGCAUGGUUGGGGGUGGAAAGUUUUUCGGCCAGGGUGGGGCUCGCGGCCUAUCAGCUUGUUGGUGGGUAAUGGCCUACCAAGGCGACGACGGGUAG
rnacentral:rRNA from 1 species